rnacentral:misc_RNA from 1 species
GAAUUGCGAAAAGUCGUGUGAUUUGCAAACAGUCGUGAAUCAUUGAAUGUUUGAACGCAACUUGCGCCUGGUGUUUGUGCAGCAGGCGGUGUCGUAGGAGGGUUCUUUCUACCUCUCAUGCCCCGUCAGGGGCAUGAUGAAGUGCGGGUUCCGCCUCCUAGCGGGGUGGUCCCGUGAAAAGCAGGUGGUCGCCUUCAGGUCACGCAGCGCAGUGGUUCUCCCUCGGGAGAUUUCAGCGUUGUGUACCCGCUUCGCGGCCACACACCACUAAAAUCUCGAACCUCCUAUCGACACAGACUACCCGCUGGAUUUAA